rnacentral:lncRNA from 1 species
ACACUUAUUCUGAGGGCGGGAGCCACUGGGUCACUACUUUAUCUUAUCCCCAACAGUCUGAACACUUCAAGACGACGUCCCAGAAGGUGGCCCGGAAGUUCUGGUGGAAGAAUGUGAAGAUGAUUGUCAUCAUCUGUGUGAUUGUCCUUAUCAUUCUCAUCCUCAUCAUACUCUUUGCUACGGGCACCAUCCCCACUUAAGAGCCCCUCUCACCUCACCCUACUCUUCAGGGGUGAUCCUCCCAAAAGUGUGCCAAGAGGGGCCCUCUCCUGCCCUCCUCCCCAGGAGUGCUGCUCGGUCCCUGUGAGGGCCUUCUGCUGCCUCAUAUGCCCCAGAAGUUCCUUGAUCCCCUGGGAGGAGACAGCUGGACUGUGGCUGCACCUCAUGGUCCUGAGAGUGGGUUAGAGAGACCCAGAGGACCCUGUUUGUGGCUGGGAAACUGCUGGUGGUUGGUGGGCAAUAAAGACCUCUUGGUAUCCUU